ACUCAACGUUAAUUCUUUAAAAAGGGUGAGUUUGAAUUGUAAAAGCAUGCUGCUAAUACAUUUAGUAUUUGGGCAGAUCCUUGAUCAGUUUGUUAGCCCUAAACUUGUUUUUAAGGAGUUU
rnacentral:sRNA from 1 species